rnacentral:rRNA from 1 species
AACGAACGUUGGCGGCGUGGAUUAGGCAUGCGAGUCGUACGAGAACCCGCAAGGGGGAAAGUGGCGAACGGGGUAGUAAUGCGUAGGUGACGUGCCCUGUGGUCGGGGAUAGCUUAGGGAAACUUAAGGUAAUACCCGAUGACACCAUGAGGUUUGAAUACCAUAUGGUCAAAGGUGUGAUUCCACCACAGGAGCGGCUUGCGUGGUAUUAGCUAGUUGGUGAGGUAACGGCUCACCAAGGCAACGAUGCCUAGGGGAUGUUAGCGCAUGAUCCCCACCACUGGGACUGGGAUACUGCCCAGACACCUACGGGUGGCUGCAGUCGAGAAUCUUCGGCAAUGGGGGAAACCCUGACCGAGCGACGCCGCGUGUGGGAUGAAGGCCCUUGGGUUGUAAACCACUGUCAGAGGGGAUGAAGUGCUAGAGAGCUAUCUCUCUAGUUUGACAUAGCCUCAGAGGAAGCACGGGCUAAGUUCGUGCCAGCAGACGCGGUUAAAGUAGUCGUGU